UACGUAGGUCCCGAGCGUUGUCCGGAUUUAUUGGGCGUAAAGCGAGCGCAGGUGGUUUAUUAAGUCUGGUGUAAAAGGCAGUGGCUCAACCAUUGUAUGCAUUGGAAACUGGUAGACUUGAGUGCAGGAGAGGAGGGUGGAAUUCCAUGUGUAGCGGUGAAAUGCGUAGAUAUAUGGAGGAACACCGGUGGCGAAAGCGGCUCUCUGGCCUGUAACUGACACUGAGGCUCGAAAGCGUGGGGAGCAAACAGG
rnacentral:rRNA from 1 species